rnacentral:rRNA from 1 species
AGAGGUUUGAUCAUGGCUCAGGAUGAACGCUAGCGGCAGGCCUAAUACAUGCAAGACGAACGGUAAGUUGAGUAGCAAUACUUAGCCAAGAGUGUCGUACGGGUGCGUAACACGUAUGCAACCUACCCUAUACAGGAGGAUAGCCUAGGGAAACCUGGAUUAACCCUUCAUAGUAUUAUUGGAUGGCAUCAUUUGAUAAUUAAAACUGAGGUGGUAUAGGAUGGGCAUGCGUCUGAUUAGUUAGUUGGCGGGGUAAUGGCCCACCAAGACGAUGAUCAGUAGGGGUUCUGAGAGGAAGAUCCCCCACACUGGCACUGAGAUACGGGCCAGACUCCUACGGGAGGCAGCAGUAGGGAAUAUUGGUCAAUGGAUGCAAGUCUGAACCAGCCAUGCCGCGUGCAGGAAGAAGGCCUUCUGGGUUGUAAACUGCUUUUGCCAGGGGAUAAAAUUUCCAUGCGUGGAAAACUGAAGGUACCUGGUGAAUAAGCCACGGCUAACUACGUG